UACGUAGGUGACAAGCGUUGUCCGGAUUUACUGGGCGUAAAGAGCGCGCAGGCGGUCGAUCAAGUCGAGUGUGAAAGCCCCCGGCUCAACUGGGGAGGGUCAUUCGAUACUGAUCGACUCGAAGGCAGGAGAGGGUAGUGGAAUUCCCGGUGUAGUGGUGAAAUGCGUAGAGAUCGGGAGGAACACCCGUGGCGAAGGCGGCCUGCUGGGCCGGAUCUGACGCUGAGGCGCGAAGGCGUGGGGAGCGAACGGG
rnacentral:rRNA from 1 species